GGGGAAUAUUGCACAAUGGGGGAAACCCUGAUGCGGCAACGCCGCGUGAAGGAAGACGGUUUUCGGAUUGUAAACUUCUAUCAAUAGGGACGAAAAAAAUGACGGUACCUAAAUAAGAAGCCCCGGCUAACUACGUGCCAGCAGCCGCGGUAAUACGUAGGUGGCAAGCGUUGUCCGGAUUUACUGGGCGUAAAGGGAGCGUAGGCGGAUACUUAAGUGGGAUGUGAAAUACCUGGGCUUAACUUGGGUGCUGCAUUCCAAACUGGGUGUCUAGAGUGUUGGAGAGGAAAGUGGAAUUCCUAGUGUAGCGGUGAAAUGCGUAGAGAUUAGGAAGAAUACCAGUGGCGAAGGCGCCUUUCUGGACUGUAACUGACACCGAGGCUCGAAAGCGUGGGGAGCAAAC
rnacentral:rRNA from 1 species